rnacentral:snoRNA from 1 species
CAUAUAAGAGUGUAAUUGCUGUAAAUAUGGGCGGCAAGCAAUGCAUAGGCUUUAGGUGGGAAUGCCUCGUGUUACAGCACGUCCAUAAAGAAACCGAUGGAUAGGG